CUAUGCACUUGUUUAUAACCCCAAGUCAUUCGAUGGUGAUGGGAAAAGAAAAGAAAAAUCGUUAGACUUAAAGUCAUAUCACUAGCACAUGGGAGUACCAAAUGAAUACUUGAUAGUCAUAGAUACUAACAAAAUCCAUGAGGUCUAGAAUACUUUUCUGCAGCAGUAGUCAGAAAUUUAAAGUUCAGAAGUCGAGGGCACAUUCCUGUGUUUUUCAUUUUCGACAAGUAGAACAAUGCAGCCAUAUGCCGGUCCCUCUCUGGAGUUAGUACCCAAUGCUUGGAAUGUGAGCAGAUGCUGAAGGCUAUUAAUGAAGUCCUUGAAGGGAGGCCCAUUCAUGUAUGUUGUAGACACAAGGCCAAAGUUGAAUGUGGUGGCCAACUGAGCAGCUGGUAAGG
rnacentral:lncRNA from 1 species